CUCGCCUUAGCGCGGGUAUUGGGUAGGAUACGGUAUCAGGGUGCGGAGUCCGUACGGGUUCGGCCCGGUUCCCCGCCUGACCAAACCCCUAUUCCAUUUGGAUCACGCGCCCUUCUAAGAUGGAGGUCUUUGUAUGUUGCCCAGGUUGGUCUCAAGCUCCUGAGGUCAACUGUCGCUCCUACUUCAGGCUCCUAAAGAAACAGGGUCUUACCCUACUGUCCAGGCUGCAGUGCAGAGGUGUGAUCAUAGCUCACGGCAAACUUGAACUCCUGAGCUCAAGCAAUCUCCUGCAUCAGCCUCCUGAGUAGCUGAGACUGUAGGUGCACCACCAUACCUGAUUAAUUUUUAAACUUUUUAUUGUAAUGGGGUCUCUUUGUGUUUCCCAGGCUGUCUUGAACUUCUGGGCUUAAAUGACCCUCCUGCUUUGGCAUCCCAAACUGCUGCAAUUAUAGGCAUGAGAUACUGGCCUGUGUGUGUUUAUUAAAUAAGUUAAUACAAAUAAAGAACUUAGAACAGUGAGUACAUGGUACUCACUCAAAUGUUAGAUGUUACUAUUAUGUUCUAGGAGUUUGGCACAAACUCAGAGGACAGUAAAUCCAACAAAGUUAUGUUGUUGUUAAGGGCUGUGCUCUGGUGCCAGCAGGAGGAAAGGUG